rnacentral:snRNA from 12 species
AUACUUAUCUGGUAGGGGAGACACCAUGAUCAGGCAGGUGCUUUUCCCACGGCGAGGCUCAUCCCCUGCACUAUUUUUUUUUUUUUUUUAAGAUCAUGGAGCAGAUCCUCCUGGAAGAUAUUUCAAAACAUAUGGAAGACAGGGAAGUGAUUAUAGAAAGCCAGCCUGGC